CAAGUCGAGCGGUAACAGGUGUAGCAAUACAUGCCUGACGAGCGGCGGACGGGUGAGUAACGCUUGGGAAUCUGCCUGUUAGUGGGGGACAACCCGGGGAAACUCGGGCUAAUACCGCAUACGCACUACGGUGGAAAGCCGGGGACCGCAAGGCCUGGCGCUAACAGAUGAGCCCAAGUCGGAUUAGCUAGUUGGUAGGGUAACGGCCUACCAAGGCGACGAUCCGUAACUGGUCUGAGAGGACGACCAGUCACACCGGAACUGAGACACGGUCCGGACUCCUACGGGAGGCAGCAGUGGGGAAUAUUGGACAAUGGGGGAAACCCUGAUCCAGCGACGCCGCGUGGGUGAAGAAGGCCUGCGGGUUGUAAAGCCCUUUCGGUUGGGAAGAAAAGUUGCGACCUAACACGUCGCGACCUUGACGUAACCAACUAAAGAAGCACCGGCUAACUCUGUGCCAGCAGCCGCGGUAAUACAGAGGGUGCGAGCGUUAAUCGGAAUUACUGGGCGUAAAGCGCGCGUAGGCGGCUUUGCAAGCCGGAUGUGAAAUCCCCGGGCUUAACCUGGGAACUGCAUUCGGGACUGCAUUGCUAGAGUAUGGGAGAGGGAAGUGGAAUUUCAGGUGUAGCGGUGAAAUGCGUAGAUAUCUGAAGGAACAUCAGUGGCGAAAGCGACUUCCUGGACCAAUACUGACGCUCAUGUGCGAAAGCGUGGGGAGCAAACAGGAUUAGAUACCCUGGUAGUCCACGCCAUAAACGAUGAGAACUGGAUGUCGGGAGGGUCUGCCUCUCGGUGUCGUAGCUAACGCGUUAAGUUCUCCGCCUGGGGAGUACGGCCGCAAGGUUGAAACUCAAAGGA
rnacentral:rRNA from 1 species